rnacentral:rRNA from 1 species
UACGUAGGGGGCAAGCGUUGUCCGGAUUUAUUGGGCGUAAAGAGCGUGUAGGCGGCCUGGUAGGUCAGCUGUGAAAACUCGAGGCUCAACCUCGAGACGCCGGUUGAAACCAUCAGGCUAGAGUCCGGAAGAGGAGAGUGGAAUUCCUGGUGUAGCGGUGGAAUGCGCAGAUAUCAGGAGGAACACCGGUGGCGAAGGCGGGUCUCUGGGCAGUAACUGACGCUGAGGAGCGAAAGCGUGGGGAGCGAACAGG